rnacentral:rRNA from 1 species
UACGUAGGGCGCAAGCGUUGUCCGGAAUUAUUGGGCGUAAAGAGCUCGUAGGCGGCUUGUCACGUCGGGUGUGAAAGCCCGGGGCUUAACCCCGGGUCUGCAUUCGAUACGGGCUAGCUAGAGUGUGGUAGGGGAGAUCGGAAUUCCUGGUGUAGCGGUGAAAUGCGCAGAUAUCAGGAGGAACACCCGUGGCGAAGGCGGCUCUCUGGGACGGUACCGACGCUGAGACGCGAAAGCGUGGGGAGCGAACAGG